GGCGUGGAUAAGACAUGCAAGUCGAACGCUACUUAUUUUGUUAGCAAUAACGAAGUAAGUGGAGUGGCGAAAGGGUGCGUAACACGUGGGAAUUUACCAAGAAGUGGGGAAUAGCUCGACGAAAGUCGAAUUAAUACCGCAUACGAUCGAGAGAUCAAAGCCGGGGACCGCAAGGCCUGGCGCUUUUUGAGAAGCCCGCGGCCCAUCAGCUAGUUGGCGAGGUAGAAGCUCACCAAGGCUAUGACGGGUAGCUGGUCUGAGAGGACGACCAGCCACACUGGAAGUGAGACACGGUCCAGACACCUACGGGUGGCAGCAGUCGAGAAUUUUUCACAAUGGACGAAAGUCUGAUGGAGAGACGCCGCGUGGAGGAUGAAGGUUUUCGGAUUGUAAAAUCGGGUCACUGCAGAACAAGGCUGUGCGUAUGAAUAGUA
rnacentral:rRNA from 1 species